rnacentral:lncRNA from 10 species
CUGGACUAUCAGUGUCAGUAGAGUAGUGAUUUUGUCAGCUUUUUUUCCCACCCUGUCUGCUUAACAUUAAGCAGACUGCCUUAUAUAUAUAAUAGAUGUUUAAUAAGUAUAUUUGUCGAAUGAAUCAAUGAAUGAUUUAAUUCCCUUGUCUUGACCCUUAGUGAUAGGCAGUAAAAGGCAAUUAUAAGUGUCUCUGAAUAAUUGUGGCUGACAACUUCUUUCUCUGCUUGUGAGACUACAAAACAGAACACAACAGAAGAAACUAGCAGCACCUUAAAAAGGAAAGGUGUCUGGACCAUCUCCAGCUAGAAACGAAGGUGGCUGUUCAGUGAUUGGAAGAUUCUUGACAAAUACAUCGAGACACAUUUUUGGAUGUUUCCAACGCCACAGGCAUUGUUUUAGAUUAGACUCUACAUGAAGAUUCCAAGUAUCACAGCAGGUAUGUGGGCCAGGAUAUCUGGGGACAUAUAUCUAAUGCAUGUAUUAGAUAUAUGUUUUCUACUUUGCCCAACCCUGAAAGCCAACCCUGACUUCAAGAUCCAACUGACUAUGGCAAUAUAAAAGUAUUAGAAGAUUCGCCUUGUAAAAUGACCAG